AAAGUCGUAACAAGGUCUCCGUUGGUGAACCAGCGGAGGGAUCAUUACCGAGUUUACAACUCCCAAACCCCUGUGAAUAUACCAUCGUUGCUUCGGCGGAUCACCCCGGGCGCUUCGGCGCCCCGGAUCCAGGUGCCCGCCGGAGGACCCAAACUCUUGUUUUAGCAGUGGCAUCUUCUGAGUAAUUUUAUAAAUAAAUCAAAACUUUCAACAACGGAUCUCUUGGUUCUG
rnacentral:misc_RNA from 1 species